rnacentral:rRNA from 1 species
UACGGAAGGCAGCAGUGGGGAACAUUGCACAAUGGGCGCAAGCCUGAUGCAGCCAUGCCGCGUGUAUGAAGAAGGCCUUCGGGUUGUAAAGUACUUUCAGUCGUGAGGAAGGUGUUAAGGUUAAUAACCUUAGCAAUUGACGUUAGCGACAGAAGAAGCACCGGCUAACUCCGUGCCAGCAGCCGCGGUAAUACGGAGGGUGCGAGCGUUAAUCGGAAUUACUGGGCGUAAAGGGCACGCAGGCGGUUAAUUAAGUUGGAUGUGAAAUCCCCGGGCUUAACCUGGGAAUGGCAUUCAAGACUGGUUAGCUAGAGUCUUGUAGAGGGGGUAGAAUUCCAUGUGUAGCGGUGAAAUGCGUAGAGAUGUGGAGGAAUACCGGUGGCGAAGGCGGCCCCUGGACAAAGACUGACGCUCAUGUGCGAAAGCGUGGGGAGCAAACAGGGAUUAGAUACC